AUUGAACGCUGGCGGCAGGCCUAACACAUGCAAGUCGAACGGUAACAGGAAGAAGCUUGCUUCUUUGCUGACGAGUGGCGGACGGGUGAGUAAUGUCUGGGAAACUGCCUGAUGGAGGGGGAUAACUACUGGAAACGGUAGCUAAUACCGCAUAACGUCGCAAGACCAAAGAGGGGGACCUUCGGGCCUCUUGCCAUCGGAUGUGCCCAGAUGGGAUUAGCUAGUAGGUGGGGUAACGGCUCACCUAGGCGACGAUCCCUAGCUGGUCUGAGAGGAUGACCAGCCACACUGGAACUGAGACACGGUCCAGACUCCUACGGGAGGCAGCAGUGGGGAAUAUUGCACAAUGGGCGCAAGCCUGAUGCAGCCAUGCCGCGUGGAUGAAGAAGGCCUUCGGGUUGUAAAGUACUUUCAGCGGGGAGGAAGGGAGUAAAGUAAUACCUUUGCUCAUUGACGUUACCCGCAGAAGAAGCACCGGCUAACUCCGUG
rnacentral:rRNA from 1 species